AUUUGGAGCUUUAUUAUAAAAUGGAGAGGAACACAAUGCAAGGUAUCACACAGGACGAAAUAAAAAAGACACAUUUGGGAGAAUUUCACCUCUACACUUUCCAAACCAACAAAAUCCAAGCAUGAAAGAUCAAGAAAUUUAAGCAAUAUUUUUUGGCCAUUGUGUCAUAGUUGGCCAGUUUCUUUCAUAGCCUCCACUGUAAAUUCCUUACCCAAUUCCCCUGCAAUCUCCACACCUCCUAGAUUAGAGAGUGUGCAGUCAGCACUCCUCCAAAGCCCUUCCCACAUGCCACUUGCUGGGGACUGUUGGGACAUUUGCCCAUUUUAGGGAGAAGGACACGCUGCUCACGGACACCUGUGGGUGAGCUGUGCUCCCUGAGCAGGCCUGCACAGCCUGUUGGACGGGACACUCGCCUUCCUGCUGAGCAAACACAGAAAAUCAAAGUGGCUUCUCACAGCGCCCAAGUUACUCACUGCUGCUCAGGGGAUGACAGGAGGAGCUCUCACAGACCUGAGGGGCUGGGAGCGGUGCAUCACUGACUGCCACAGCACUUGUGACCCACAGUCCCUGGCUGUGGCCAAGCCAUCGGUCAGAACACAAACCAGGCUCAGGUUCUGUCACUAAGCAUGAGGUACAACUCCACAGACUUCAGCUGACUGAUCAGAUUCAGUACAGGGCCUCCUGCCCUUCAGUGAGGCUGAGAUCCCAGUGCCUUCAGAAGGCAGUCCAGCUCAGCCUGCCUCAGAGAGGUGUCUCAUGCAGGAAGGAUCAAUCUUUCUUCAGAGCUACUCAUUUCCCAAAGUUUAUUGGAGACAGCCAGGACAACUUGUUCAGAAGGGUCCCACCUUUCAGGAGUCAUGCUGCAGCUCUAUUAGCAUCGCUGGAUACACAGUUCUGCAUCUGCUGUGCCAGACUCUUUCAAGUAAACUGACAGAGAAGAUCUACUUUUAGACAGAGUUUUCUGCUCUGUUUCCUUUUCUCUGAUGGAAGGGCUCCCAAAACAGCAUCCAGAAAAGAGGAAGCAGCCUUUGAUUUCUGUGCCUUCAGUUUUCUAAUCAGAACCCCAAACUAGGAUGACAGGAAAUAGGGUGCUCCAUUCCACAGCUACAUGGCUGCAGCAAUACUGCUGGGAGAAAGUUGAAGAUUUUAUUACACAUAUCUAGGUCACAAGGUCAAAAGUAAUAUGCUUAUGCUGGGAGGGGAGGUAACCCAAGUGCCUCUGGAUAAUAUGAUUUCAUGAUGGCAGGCAAUCUUCCAGAUUUCACUGAGUUUCUUGAGAAAUACUGGUUGGCAAUCAAGUAUAUGUUUCCACACCUCCUCCUUACUGCACAGCAACUUGUAUUUUAGGUUUUUGAAAAGAUCUAAUCCCUCUCAUCCAGGUAAAAUGAUGUAGCAUAUUUGACUUCCUCCUUUACUAAAAAGGAAUUUAGAAGCCAGGCUACACAAAGCAGGGUUUUAACCACCUCUGUUUCUGACCUUUCAGGAGAGUACAAGCAAGCUGAUCCUCUACUGUGUUUCCUCUACCACACACUGGUUUCUCUAUUUACAUCACAACCUCUUUGUGCAGUGUAAUUGUCUAGCACAAUGGGGCCCUCAGUGGGAACCUCAAGGUAUUUCCAUCAUAAGAAUAACAAACAACAGCAAGGAAGAAGAACAAAAGGAGAAACACUGCGAUUACAAGAAUAGGUCCAACCUUCAUCAGACUGAAGAGUUUCAGGAUUUGGGACAUUUCAAAACUGGAGACAGAAGCAAAUGAGAGGAUCCAACACUGGCUUUUAUCUUGAGCUGUGAUGUGUACCUCCAAAGAAUCGUGGCAUGCCCUGUAUGCAUUGCUUCUAUUGUUAGAACAUAUCAAAGUGAGAGUACAGU
ensembl:lncRNA